AGAGUUUGAUCAUGGCUCAGAUUGAACGCUGGCGGCAGGCCUAACACAUGCAAGUCGAACGGUAACAGGAAGCAGCUUGCUGCUUUGCUGACGAGUGGCGGACGGGUGAGUAAUGUCUGGGAAACUGCCUGAUGGAGGGGGAUAACUACUGGAAACGGUGGCUAAUACCGCAUAACGUCGCAAGACCAAAGAGGGGGACCUUCGGGCCUCUUGCCAUCAGAUGUGCCCAGAUGGGAUUAGCUUGUUGGUGAGGUAACGGCUCACCAAGGCGACGAUCCCUAGCUGGUCUGAGAGGAUGACCAGCCACACUGGAACUGAGACACGGUCCAGACUCCUACGGGAGGCAGCAGUGGGGAAUAUUGCACAAUGGGCGCAAGCCUGAUGCAGCCAUGCCACGUGUAUGAAGAAGGCCUUCGGGUUGUAAAGUACUUUCAGCGGGGAGGAAGGUGUUGUGGUUAAUAACCGCAGCAAUUGACGUUACCCGCAGAAGAAGCACCGGCUAACUCCGUGCCAGCAGCCGCGGUAAUACGGAGGGUGCAAGCGUUAAUCGGAAUUACUGGGCGUAAAGCGCACGCAGGCGGUCUGUCAAGUCGGAUGUGAAAUCCCCGGGCUCAACCUGGGAACUGCAUUCGAAACUGGCAGGCUUGAGUCUUGUAGAGGGGGGUAGAAUUCCAGGUGUAGCGGUGAAAUGCGUAGAGAUCUGGAGGAAUACCGGUGGCGAAGGCGGCCCCCUGGACAAAGACUGACGCUCAGGUGCGAAAGCGUGGGGAGCAAACAGGAUUAGAUACCCUGGUAGUCCACGCCGUAAACGAUGUCUACUUGGAGGUUGUGCCCUUGAGGCGUGGCUUCCGGAGCUAACGCGUUAAGUAGACCGCCUGGGGAGUACGGCCGCAAGGUUAAAACUCAAAUGAAUUGACGGGGGCCCGCACAAGCGGUGGAGCAUGUGGUUUAAUUCGAUGCAACGCGAAGAACCUUACCUGGUCUUGACAUCCACAGAACUUUCCAGAGAUGGAUUGGUGCCUUCGGGAACUGUGAGACAGGUGCUGCAUGGCUGUCGUCAGCUCGUGUUGUGAAAUGUUGGGUUAAGUCCCGCAACGAGCGCAACCCUUAUCCUUUGUUGCCAGCGGUCCGGCCGGGAACUCAAAGGAGACUGCCAGUGAUAAACUGGAGGAAGGUGGGGAUGACGUCAAGUCAUCAUGGCCCUUACGACCAGGGCUACACACGUGCUACAAUGGCGCAUACAAAGAGAAGCGACCUCGCGAGAGCAAGCGGACCUCAUAAAGUGCGUCGUAGUCCGGAUUGGAGUCUGCAACUCGACUCCAUGAAGUCGGAAUCGCUAGUAAUCGUGGAUCAGAAUGCCACGGUGAAUACGUUCCCGGGCCUUGUACACACCGCCCGUCACACCAUGGGAGUGGGUUGCAAAAGAAGUAGGUAGCUUAACCUUCGGGAGGGCGCUUACCACUUUGUGAUUCAUGACUGGGGUGAAGUCGUAACAAGGUAACCGUAGGGGAACCUGCGGUUG
rnacentral:rRNA from 1 species